rnacentral:rRNA from 1 species
UUCUGGCUCAGGAUGAACGCUAGCGGCAGGCUUAACACAUGCAAGUCGAGGGGCAGCGGGAUGUAGCAAUACAUUGCCGGCGACCGGCGGAUGGGUGCGUAACGCGUAUGCAACCUACCUUAUACAGGGGAAUAACCUUUCGAAAGGGAGACUAACACCCCAUGGUAUUGAUUUAAGGCAUCUUAGAUUAAUUAAAUAUUUAUAGGUAUAAGAUGGGCAUGCGUAUGAUUAGCUAGUUGGUAAGGUAACGGCUUACCAAGGCGACGAUCAUUAGGGGUUCUGAGAGGAAGGUCCCCCACACUGGUACUGAGACACGGACCAGACUCCUACGGGAGGCAGCAGUGAGGAAUAUUGGUCAAUGGGCGCAAGCCUGAACCAGCCAUGCCGCGUGCAGGAAAGACGGCCUUAUGGGUUGUAAACUGCUUUUACAUAAGACUAACCGUAUAUUUGCGAAUAUACCUGAAUGUAUUAUGAGAAUAAGGAUCGGCUAACUCCGUGCCAGCCGCAGC